rnacentral:rRNA from 1 species
CCUACGGGGCGCAGCAGUCGAGAAUCAUUCACAAUGGGGGAAACCCUGAUGGUGCGACGCCGCGUGGGGGAAUGAAGGUCUUCGGAUUGUAAACCCCUGUCAUGUGGGAGCAAAUUAAAAAGAUAGUACCACAAGAGGAAGAGACGGCUAACUCUGUGCCAGCAGCCGCGGGAAUACAGAGGUCUCAAGCGUUGUUCGGAAUCACUGGGCGUAAAGCGUGCGUAGGCUGUUUCGUAAGUCGUGUGUGAAAGGCGCGGGCUCAACCCGCGGACGGCACAUGAUACUGCGAGACUAGAGUAAUGGAGGGGGAACCGGAAUUCUCGGUGUAGCAGUGAAAUGCGUAGAUAUCGAGAGGAACACUCGUGGCGAAGGCGGGUUCCUGGACAUUAACUGACGCUGAGGCACGAAGGCCAGGGGAGCGAAAGGGAUUAGAUACCCGUGUAGUC